GUACUACUCCCUCCGUUCGGAAUUACUUGUCACAAAAAUGGAUGUAUCUACAACUAAAAUACAUUUAGAUACAUUUAUUUCUUGGACGAGUAAUUCUGAACGGAGGGAGUAUUAC
rnacentral:pre_miRNA from 1 species